UAAAAUCCAAGUUCGACUCAUUUGAUCCUGCAGCUUCACCUUUUAUGGCGGCGGCAUAGAACAUAACAUGUAUUCGACGUCUUAUAUUUGUUUACAAAUGGAGUACAUGUGAAAAAUAAAAUGAAAGACUAUUGCGGUUUAUAAAACAGAUAAUUCCUUGAAUUUCAGGUUCACAUCCUUAACAGCACCUCUCCCAUAGGAUAACAGCAACCAAAUUGCAUCCAAACACAGAACAGACAUCACAUCCUUAACAACAACUCCCCCAUAAGCAUAACAGCAAUUAAAGUGCAUCCGAGCACCACCGACCACACCACUACCAACACUACAUACAGCCCCCUGAAGGUCGCAUCAACACUACCCUGUACUCACACAGUCACGUCUCUGUGCAACAAUGUCCUAAAGCCUCGUUGUUAGUCCUUCGCCACAUGUUAAGCGUUAAUGCUGCAAGCAUAAUCACAGCUCCCAUGUCACAGCGUAAGCGUCAAGCACAACACUGACGCUGCAAGAGGAAAAGAAGGUUAGCAUAUAAAAUAUCCAAAUAAAAAUAAACUCAAGAAAGUAUGAGACAGACAAAAAAGCAUUACUCGCUGGUCACUUUCUUCUGUUGCAGAAGGUUCUUGAUGCACUCUGCGAGGCAAUCCUGGUCAUGCGCUGCAGCAAGUAACUCGCUGUCAUCUGUGCUCGACAUUGUUGUCACCUUGCCAUCCUGAAACAACGGAACUCAUAAGAAAUAUCUCAAGAAUAAUUAAAGAUCUGGGCCCUGACCAAACUGAACUAAUAUAUAUAGAAAGCUCAUAAUAUUAUGUACUAAUAGCACGUGGACAGGCUAAAUCUAGGAAACGUACCCUGGCAUGGUCAGGACCAUGAUGAACAAGAUGGCGAUGGUACUUUAUAAUGCUUCCCAACAAGUUGAAAUAAGGAAGGGUGUUGAAAUUUGGUAUCAGCUUGUACCAGAAAACCUUCCAGAGAAUGUAGUUCACAGGGGUCUGCUUGAUAAAAUCUCGCCAGUUUGAAGAAGGAGCUACUUUGAAAACAGUAUCAAAGAACGGGUUUUCCUCAAAAUUCAAGUCCACCAGAAGCCAAUACAGAUUCCUAAGGAGAUUUGCCCUUCCUAUCGAUGACAUAACAAAGGGGUGUAGCAGGAGGUAUGCAUAGUACCAAGAUUGGAAAUCCUCUUCAGCAAGUGUGCCAUGAGACUUCAACGCAUUUGUGAAGUGUUCCAUAAACACAGGAAUCACUCCAUUGAUCAUGAAGUUUGGAACUACUGUGUCAGCUAUUUGAGUAAGGUCCAUGUUAGACAUUGCUCUACUGGUGCAACGGACAGAUUUGGCAAUUGGAUAAAUGUGAGUUCCAUCUAUGACUUCCCAGUCAUCAAGGCUUCAUUGACCAUCCCAACAGUAACCUCUUUUGUGUUCUGCUAUGGUAUGUUGUGUUAACUUGUGAAGCAGAAUCCUUGACUCUUUUACUGCUGUUGGGACGUCUUUGCUAUAGGCCUGGUUCUGGAACAGAUGAGCAAUUCUGCCUGCAGGAUUGUUGAUGAAGUGCUGAUGCAAUGAACAUAUGCUGCAAUACAAGAAUAAGCUCUUUUAGCAACUUUACACUAAUAUUUACGCAAUGUCUAGAUGAUGCAGUAUAAUAGCAUGGUCUAAGUGAAAAUGAAAUUUGCGUGCUUGUAACCAAGGGAGAUCAAAAAGUAGGGGCAUAGAACUCUUAAGACUUUACUACCACAUUACAAAGCUAAAAGCCCAUGCCGCUGUUUUGCUCCAAAAGACAACUAAUAUGACCUAGUUAUUGCGCAAGAGAAAUGUUUGAAACAAAUGAAAAUUUAGCUCAAAGAACACACAACAUGUAUUAAUGCUGCACUGGCAAUACCCAAAUAACCAAAUUAGGUAGAGAGGGAAUAGUGUUGCAGUAUACAAGACUGCAAGGAAUGAAUAGAAAACGAAACAAAGAUCAGCGGGCCAUGAAAAAUUACCUUGAAGGCAUCUGCAUAACUGUCAGUUUUGUUUGGACUUGAAUGAAUUGUUUCAUUUUAUCCUCACUUGCAAACCUCUUCUUUAUAGUCUCAGGACUCUGACUUUUGAAAGAUUCCAAUAAGAAUGUUCUGAGGGCAGACUCCAAAUGUACUUUUAACCUGUGGAAUAAUAAACGGUUGUUCAAACCACAAUUCAUGAACAUAUUUAAGGCAUAGUCCACAAUAACUAUCAGUGCACAGAUGACAAAUGCAAGUGGAUGAUAAAAGCAUUCCCUACAAAAUAACUAAGGCAGUGGCUUACUUAUGUCAGAACUCACCUCUCAUAGUUAUUACAUAUCAUGUAUGCAAGUUUACGAUCUUCUGUUUUCAACCUGUCAAAACUCAUCUUUAAGUGACAGCUACCAGAUGCCCAAAGGCGGCGUGCAUCUUCACCACAGCACCUAGAACAAGAAUUCAAUAUCGUUAGCCUGUUAUUAGCUGAAGCAAUAGGAACAACGAUAACGAAAUCCAAACCAUAACUAACCUUCGUAGAUGCUUGAGGUAGGUCAUGGUCGUGUUGCUGUCUUCAGACUGCUGGAGUGCCUGUGCAUAGGAUUCGGGAAUGGGCUCGAAAAAUGGGGAAACAUCAGCAUGUGGGGGUUCGACCGGUGAGGUGGCUGCCUGAGAGGCUGUGGAUGUUGGUGUGGAUCCGGGCGGAGGAGUCGGAGACAGAAUCGCUGGAGCCUGAGGAUGAGGGAGGGCAACGGGUGAGGUAACUGCCUGUGGAGACGCUGUGGAUGUUGGCGGGGAUCCGGGUGGAAGAUGAUGGCGUCGAAGGUGCGCCCGACGCCGACAAGGGUAAUGUUGAUGUUGGAUUUGGG
rnacentral:lncRNA from 1 species